AUAAAGGACACUUGGAAAUGUCGCCUUGCAGACAGGUAUCUUGUGAUGGGGAGUAGGAAAAAAGGCGCUCCUAGGCCUUCUCUUGACAUCAGCGGAGACUCGUUCCCUGCUGCAUUUGUGUAUUGUUGACGCAGAAGUAUCUUAUUCUGGUCCACUUUUGUGGCCUUUUUAUAAAUUUUUGUGAAGUUGAAGACUUCAUCUUCUAUCGCUAAAUCAAUGAGCAAACUCUGAGCACUUCACCGGCGAUGACCCUCUUCCCAGGGGAUGCUAAGCUCGCGCCGCAUCCUGAACGUUCUCUAACUGUUAUAUCGCACUUUGUAAAGAAACUGGUCUGACGGAUAUUGCGUUUUGUAAAAAAAAUACGUUUUGUACUUUGCCUAAAAUGUGCAUUCUUAAAUGUUAUUAAUGGCAGCAAUUCACACAUAGAUUAAGGUACAUCUGAACAGUGAUUUCCAAUAAUAAAAUCCAAAUGUCAAAAAAUGCCGUUUAUCGCAUUUUGCAACCAAACUCUUCAUAUGUAUGUGUGUGUUAUGACUGUAUGACUGCAGAAGAGAACUGCUCUGUUCCCACAACUCAGUUUUUCUGGGACUUGAAAACAGACGCUCGGCAGAUUUUAAAGGGUGGAAUCUUGAUCAAAUCGUGGGUUUACACACAAACAUGUAAUACAGUGCCAGAUUUUCUGGAUGUUAUAUACACAUUUGUAUUUGCAAACAUAUACCAUAUUGUUUUAAAUGAUGUAUUUUUGUGUGGGUUUUUACAUUCAGAGAAAGUUACAGUGGAUCUUGAUUUUGGAGGAGGUGAAGUCCAGUCUAAAAGAGUCCCCUCAAGUAUCAUCACCAUGGUACAGUGUCUGUGAAGAUAGUGAAGCAGACCCAGCAUUCACAAAAAAGAGAGGUCCCAUAAAGAGAAGAUCCUGGAGCAAACAGGAAGUACAUGCUGUGGUGAAAGCUGAACCAUUGGCUCUAAAAACCAGAGAUUGUUAAAAUACGACAGAAACAGAAAUAGAACAUACUGACUCAAAGGAAGAUAACUUAGAUGAAGUGCAAGAACUCCUCAUCCUCCAUAGACAGCAAGGGAUUGAAACAAUAUGAAGGAGAGGAAUUAAUAACAGAAUCUUCAUUUUGAGGUGAACUAACCGUUUAAUAUUAUUUGCUAUUGCACUUAACUAAAUGUGUACGCAGACAUGGAAGAGUUAUGUGGAAGCUUGUUAUACCCAAUGAGAACUGCUUUUAGACAUGCAAGAGAGUUUCAUGGAUUUUGUGUUUACUUUUUUUUGUGUUUAAAGGUUUUGUGGAAAUUAUUUAUAAUAAAUAUAACAUUUAUUAAAUCUAUUCUGGACCAUUUCCUGAUUGGAUCUUGAGGUUCCUUCUGUAUUCAAAUUACAUUUUUUAUAAACUGACCUGCUCUUCAAAUGAAAAUUCUAAAGCAGUUUACUGUCAAAUUACUUGAUUGAGGUUUAAAAUUUAAUAUUAGUAAGGGUGCUGAUCUGAUCCCCACGUUGCCUAAAAACCGGUAAUGUGUGUGUAGAACUGGUCCUUACUUUGACUAAAAAACGGUAAUGUGUGUGUAGACCUGGUCCU